UCCGGUUUGUCACCGGCAGUCUCGCAUGAGUCCCCAACUAAAUGCUGGCAACAUACGACGGGGGUUGCGCUCGUUGCGGGACUUAACCCAACACCUCACGGCACGAGCUGACGACGGCCAUGCAGCACCUUGCAAAUUGUCCGAAGAACGACUGGUUUCUCAAUCUGUCAAAAUGCAUUCAAGUCCCGGUAAGGUUCCUCGCGUAUCAUCGAAUUAAACCAC
rnacentral:misc_RNA from 1 species